rnacentral:rRNA from 1 species
UACGUAGGGGGCAAGCGUUGUCCGGAAUCAUUGGGCGUAAAGCGCGUGUAGGCGGCUUGGUAAGUCCGCUCUGAAAGCCCGGGGCUCAACCCCGGGAGGCGGGUGGAUACUGUCAAGCUCGAGUCCGGAAGAGGCGAGUGGAAUCCUGGUGUAGCGGUGAAAUGCGCAGAUAUCAGGAGGAACACCAAUGGCGAAGGCAGCUCGCUGGGACGUGACUGACGCUGAGACGCGAAAGCGUGGGGAGCAAACAGG